GUCCAAGGCGAUUCCCUCUCCAAGGGGCUGACUAGUGUCCUUUUCAGGAAUAUAGCAGGAACAAGGGAUGCUUGUUGCCUUUGCCUGUCUUUGGCUGCCUACAUGU